GCCAAGCAUGGUGGCGCAUGCCUGUAAUCCCAGCUACUCAGGAGGCUGAGGCAGGAGAAUCGCUUGAACCCAGGAGGCAGAGGUUGCAGUGAGCCGAGAUCGUGCCAUUGCACUCCAGCCUGGGUGACAGAGCGAGAUUCUGUCUCAA
ensembl:misc_RNA Metazoa_SRP Metazoan signal recognition particle RNA